rnacentral:rRNA from 1 species
UGGGGAAUAUUGCACAAUGGGCGCAAGCCUGAUGCAGCCAUGCCGCGUGUGUGAAGAAGGCCUUCGGGUUGUAAAGCACUUUCAGCGAGGAGGAAGGUGGUGAACUUAAUACGUUCAUCAAUUGACGUUACUCGCAGAAGAAGCACCGGCUAACUCCGUGCCAGCAGCCGCGGUAAUACGGAGGGUGCAAGCGUUAAUCGGAAUUACUGGGCGUAAAGCGCACGCAGGCGGUUUGUUAAGUCAGAUGUGAAAUCCCCGGGCUCAACCUGGGAACUGCAUUUGAAACUGGCAAGCUAGAGUCUCGUAGAGGGGGGUAGAAUUCCAGGUGUAGCGGUGAAAUGCGUAGAGAUCUGGAGGAAUACCGGUGGCGAAGGCGGCCCCCCUGGACGAAGACUGACGCUCAGGUGCGAAAAGCGUGGGGAGCAAAACAGGAUUAGAUACCCUGGUAGUCCACGCUGUAAAACGAUGUCGAUUUGGAGGUUGUGCCCUUGAGGCGUGGCUUCCGGAGCUAACGCGUUAAAUCGACCGCCUGGGGAGUACGGCCGCAAGGUUAAAAACUUAAAAGGAAUUGACGGGGUCAUAGCUGUUUCCU